rnacentral:lncRNA from 1 species
GUUUGUUCCAAGGUCGAGAUUUGUGAGAUAUUUGAUCGAACUUUAGUAUGGUCGAAUGAUAGUUUCUUGGUUCGACAAUCCGACAUGAGCAUUAGACCGUCGAAGUCUGUUCACAUGUUGUAGUCGAAGUAUGCUAGGAUUGUUAGCAUGUCGAAUUAUGCCUGUUUGUUAUGUCCAAUUGUUUAAGUUAGUUUGUUCUCUAAGUUAG